rnacentral:rRNA from 1 species
UAGGAUUCCCCCAGUAGCGGCGAGCGAACAGGGAAGAAGCCCAGCACCGAAUCCCGCGGUCGGAAACGGCCGCCGGGAAAUGUGGUGUUCGGGAGGAUCCGAUUAUCCCGGCGAAGCGCGGUGCGUCCAAGUCCUUCUUGAAUGGGGCCACUUACCCGCAGAGGGUGCCAGGCCCGUAGCGACCGCCGAGCCCGCCGGGAGGAUCUCUCCUUAGAGUCGGGUUGCUUGAGAGUGCAGCUCUAAGUGGGUGGUAAACUCCAUCUAAGGCUAAAUAUGACCACGAGACCGAUAGCGAACAAGUACCGUGAGGGAAAGUUGAAAAGAACUUUGAAGAGAGAGUUCAACAGUACGUGAAACCGUCCAGGGGUAAACCUGAGAAACCCGAAAGGUCGACGGGGGAGAUUCAACUGCCUCGUCGCGGGCGGCGGCGCGGGCGCCACGAGGCUGCGGUGCGAGACGGUUUCGGCCGUCCCGUCUCCGACGGCUCAGUGUCCCGCUAACCGGUAACCGCCAGCGAAGGCAUGCACUUCUCCCUCUGUAGGACGUCGCGACCCGUCGGGUGCCGGACUAAGGCCCGCUGGGUAGCCCGCCCGCGUUCGCGCGGACGGACCCGCGGUGAUUCCCGUCCGGCCGCCCGACGGUAUCAGUAGAGAGGCACGGGGCCGCCCGCCAUAACAGGGCGUCCGGCCCGCCGCGAGUAGUCAGCGCUGGUCUAAACCCGACCGCCGGACCUGGUCCGGCGCCGGGCCAGCGUCGCUGUCGGCGGCGGUGUCCCCGGACAGACCCCGGAACCGGCACCCGCAAGGGUGCCGCGUGCCGGUCUGCGACGCUUUAGCUUUGGGUACUUUCAGGACCCGUCUUGAAACACGGACCAAGGAGUCUAGCAUGUGCGCGAGUCAUUGGGACUGCGCUAAGCCUAAAGGCGUAAUGAAAGUGAAGGUUCGGCCGGGGCCGGCCGAGGGAGGAUGGGUGCCGUCCGCCGGUCAAACGGCGGCCCGGUGCCCCGCACUCCCGGCGCGUCUCGCGCUCAUCGCGAGCUGAGGCGCAGCCAGAGCGUACACGCUGGGACCCGAAAGAUGGUGAACUAUGCCUGGUCAGGACGAAGUCAGGGGAAACCCUGAUGGAGGUCCGUAGCGAUUCUGACGUGCAAAUCGAUCGUCGGAACUGGGUAUAGGGGCGAAAGACUAAUCGAACCAUCUAGUAGCUGGUUCCCUCCGAAGUUUCCCUCAGGAUAGCUGGCGCUCGCGACACAAUAUGCGAGUCUCAUCCGGUAAAGCGAAUGAUUAGAGGCAUUGGGGUCGAAACGGCCUCAACCUAUUCUCAAACUUUAAAUGGGUGAGAUCUCCCGCUUGCUUGAGAGAGCGAUUAUGAAGCGGCGAGACUCACG